AAGUCGUAACAAGGUCUCCGUAGGUGAACCUGCGGAGGGAUCAUUACUGAGUUAUUACAACUCCAACCCAUGUGAACUUACCACUGUUGCCUCGGCGCAGAGGCCCGCUGAGACUCGUGCUCGGUGGGUGGACGCGCCGGUGGACCACUAAACUCUUGUUAAUUUUGGUAUUCUGAAUCAAAAACUUAAUAAGUUAAAACUUUCAACAACGGAUCUCUUGGUUCUG
rnacentral:misc_RNA from 1 species